rnacentral:tRNA from 2 species
UUCCUCGUGGCCCAAUGGUCACGGCGUCUGGCUACGAACCAGAAGAUUCCAGGUUCAAGUCCUGGCGGGGAAGCCA